UCUCUGGAUGAGUUGCGAACGGGUGAGUAACGCGUAGGUAACCUGCCUGGUAGCGGGGGAUAACUAUUGGAAACGAUAGCUAAUACCGCAUAAUAGUAGAUGUUGCAUGACAUUUGCUUAAAAGGUGCAAUUGCAUCACUACCAGAUGGACCUGCGUUGUGUUAGCUAGUUGGUGGGGUAACGGCUCACCAAGGCGACGAUACAUAGCCGACCUGAGAGGGUGAUCGGCCACACUGGGACUGAGACACGGCCCAGACUCCUACGGGAGGCAGCAGUAGGGAAUCUUCGGCAAUGGACGGAAGUCUGACCGAGCAACGCCGCGUGAGUGAAGAAGGUUUUCGGAUCGUAAAGCUCUGUUGUAAGAGAAGAACGAGUGUGAGAGUGGAAAGUUCACACUGUGACGGUAUCUUACCAGAAAGGGACGGCUAACUACGUGCCAGCAGCCGCGGUAAUACGUAGGUCCCGAGCGUUGUCCGGAUUUAUUGGGCGUAAAGCGAGCGCAGGCGGUUAGAUAAGUCUGAAGUUAAAGGCUGUGGCUUAACCAUAGUACGCUUUGGAAACUGUUUAACUUGAGUGCAAGAGGGGAGAGUGGAAUUCCAUGUGUAGCGGUGAAAUGCGUAGAUAUAUGGAGGAACACCGGUGGCGAAAGCGGCUCUCUGGCUUGUA
rnacentral:rRNA from 1 species